UGGUGAGGGUAAUGAGAAGGUGCAGGACCUCCUUUUGUUGGAUGUCACUCCUCUCUCUCUUGGUUUGGAAACUGCUGGUGGUGUUAUGACUGUAUUGAUUCCCAGGAACACCACCAUCCCCACCAAGAAGGAGCAGGUGUUCUCUACCUAUUCCGACAACCAGCCUGGCGUCUUGAUCCAGGUGUAUGAGGGAGAAAGAACAAGGACAAGGGAUAACAACUUGCUCGGUAAAUUCGAGCUCUCUGGCAUUCCUCCUGCUCCAAGGGGUGUACCACAGAUCACAGUGUGCUUUGACAUUGAUGCCAAUGGGAUCUUGAAUGUCUCCGCUGAAGACAAGACAACCGGACAGAAGAACAAGAUCACCAUCACCAAUGACAAGGGAAGACUUUCCAAGGAGGAGAUAGAAAAAAUGGUUCAAGAGGCAGAAAAAUACAAGUCUGAGGAUGAGGAACACAAGAAGAAGGUUGAGGCCAAGAACGCAUUGGAGAAUUAUGCAUACAACAUGAGGAACACAGUGAAGGAUGAGAAGAUCGGUGCCAAGCUUCCUCCAGCAGAUAAGAAGAAAAUAGAAGAUGCCAUAGAGUCGGCCAUACAAUGGUUGGACAGCAACCAGUUAGCUGAAGCUGAUGAGUUUGAGGACAAGAUGAAGGAAUUGGAGAGCAUCUGCAACCCCAUCAUUGCUAAGAUGUAUCAGGGUGCGGGAGGUGACAUGGGCGGUGGAAUGGAUGAUGAUGCACCUGCAGGUGGCAGCGGUGCUGGUCCGAAGAUUGAGGAAGUUGACUAAACAUGUUUCCUGGGGUUUCUCCCUUAUCUUAGUUGUUGUUGUUGGUUU
rnacentral:misc_RNA from 1 species